rnacentral:rRNA from 1 species
UACGGAGGGGGCUAGCGUUGUUCGGAAUUACUGGGCGUAAAGCGCGCGUAGGCGGACCUGUAAGUCGGGGGUGAAAGCCCGAGGCUCAACCUCGGAACUGCCUCCGAUACUACAGGUCUUGAGUCCGAGAGAGGUGAGUGGAAUUCCUAGUGUAGAGGUGAAAUUCGUAGAUAUUAGGAAGAACACCAGUGGCGAAGGCGGCUCACUGGCUCGGUACUGACGCUGAGGUGCGAAAGCGUGGGGAGCAAACAGGAUUAGAUACCCCCGUA